rnacentral:tRNA from 1 species
GGAGUUGUGGCUCAGUGGUAGAGCGCUUCCCUGGCACGUGUGAAGCCCUGAGUUCGAUCCUCAGCACUACA